GAUGAACGCUGGCGGCGUGCCUAAUACAUGCAAGUCGAGCGAACAGACGAGGAGCUUGCUCCUCUGACGUUAGCGGCGGACGGGUGAGUAACACGUGGAUAACCUACCUAUAAGACUGGGAUAACUUCGGGAAACCGGAGCUAAUACCGGAUAAUAUAUUGAACCGCAUGGUUCAAUAGUGAAAGACGGUUUUGCUGUCACUUAUAGAUGGAUCCGCGCCGCAUUAGCUAGUUGGUAAGGUAACGGCUUACCAAGGCAACGAUGCGUAGCCGACCUGAGAGGGUGGUCGGCCACACUGGAACUGAGACACGGUCCAGACUCCUACGGGAGGCAGCAGUAGGGAAUCUUCCGCGAUGGACGAAAGCCUGACGGAGCAACGCCGCGUGAGUGAUGAAGGUCUUCGGAUCGUAAAACUCUGUUAUUAGGGAGGAACAAAUGUGUAAGUAACUAUGCACGUCUUGACGGUACCUAAUCAGAAAGCCACGGCUAACUACGUG
rnacentral:rRNA from 1 species